rnacentral:lncRNA from 1 species
AGCUGGAUGAAUGUUUAACUUCUAGGCCAGGCACUACUCUGUCCCAACAAUAAGCCCUGUACAUUGGGAAAGGUGCCGAAGACAUGAACUUUGGUCUUCUCUGCAAUCCCUCUGGAGCAUUCAGUGACAACGUCGACUUUGAAGUUGCACUGACCUGGCCAGCCCUGCCACUUACCAGGUUGGAUAACACUAACAAAGUUGACCUUAGAAUUGGAGUGCCCGGGUUAGAACCUUGCUGGUACCACCUGCUUACUGCAUGCUUCUGAUGUGAGUUCAGGAGAAGCCACUGGCAAGGACAGCAAAGAACAGGAGAACACUCUAGCUUCCCUGAUAGCAUUCAAGGUGCUGUCCAAACUGACUGUGAUGGCACCCUCCAGACAGACAGCGAUGCCACAUGUUCAAGAUGGCAGAAUCACUAACAGCUUCAAUUCCUGAAUGACUGCAGAGCAAAAUUUCUUACCCGCAACAUACACUCUAUUUUCAGCCUCCCUGGACUGUUACAUAAUGAUACAUAAAAAUAUUUCUUGUGUUGAGGCAUCCCAAAUUUGAUCUAUUUGUCAUCACAGUUUAUCCUACGAAUAUAUUUCUGAUCCAAAUAAUGCUAGAUUCAUGAGAGUUUAUAGUCCAGAGAUUUUUUUUUUUUUUUUUUUUUGAGACAGAAUCUCACUGUCUGCCAGGCUGGGGUGCAGUGGCAUAAUCUUAGCUCACUGCAACCUCCGCCUCCUGGGCUCAAGUGAUCCUCCCUCCUUAGCCUCCAUGAAUAGCUGGGACCACAGGUGUGCACCACCCCACCCAGCUAAUUAUUUUGUAUUUUUUGCAGAGACGGGGUUUCACCACAUUGCCCAAGCUGGUCUCAAACUCCUAGACUUAAGGGAUCUUCCCGCCUUGGCCUCCCAAAAUGCUGAAAUUACAUGUGUUAGCCAUAGUAAUAGUUCCUAGCCAUAGUCCAGAGAUAUUUUAAAAACUUUAGUGUGAGUUAUUUCUCUUUGCUAUAAUUCUCUCAUGCAUUUUGAAAACCUUUUCUGCCAUACAGUGGUUUUUGGGAAGUCCUUUUGGACAGACAUAUCACAGGAUGGAGAAACUAAAAAGAGAGAGAAUGCAUUAAAGAAAAAAUAGUACUUCAUAUUUCAGAAAUUACAAAAGGUUGUCAUGCCCCACAGCAUGGUGGGCAGUCAUUUGUAACCCACAGAACAUUGAGUUUCUAAAAUUUGAGUGUUUUUUAACUUACGAAGGCCAACUUUACUGAUGAAGUGGUUACCCCAAAUAUGUGAAAUCCAUAUUUCAAGCACAAUAGCAGGAAAUCGGAAAUGGGUAGGUAUAUUUCUGACUGUCAAAGAGUACAAAGUAAAGAGGGGCCCCUGAAGAGUGACACUACUGGAAAAACAGAAGAAAAAAAA